rnacentral:rRNA from 1 species
UACGAAGGGUGCAAGCGUUACUCGGAAUUACUGGGCGUAAAGCGUGCGUAGGUGGUUUGUUAAGUCUGUUGUGAAAGCCCCGGGCUCAACCUGGGAAUGGCAAUGGAUACUGGCAGGCUAGAGUGCGGUAGAGGGUAGUGGAAUUCCCGGUGUAGCGGUGAAAUCGUAGAGAUCGGGGAGGAACACCAGUGGCGAAGGCGGCUACCUGGACCAGCACUGACCACUGAG